rnacentral:rRNA from 1 species
AAUCCAUAGGUUAAUGAGGCGAACCGGGGGAACUGAAACAUCUAAGUACCCCGAGGAAAAGAAAUCAACCGAGAUUCCCCCAGUAGCGGCGAGCGAACGGGGAGGAGCCCAGAGCCUGAAUCAGCAUGUGUGUUAGUGGAAGCGUCUGGAAAGGCGCGCGAUACAGGGUGACAGCCCCGUACACAAAAGCGCAUGUGCUGUGAGCUCGAUGAGUAGGGCGGGACACGUGGUAUCCUGUCUGAAUAUGGGGGGACCAUCCUCCAAGGCUAAAUACUCCUGACUGACCGAUAGUGAACCAGUACCGUGAGGGAAAGGCGAAAAGAACCCCGGCGAGGGGAGUGAAAAAGAACCUGAAACCGUGUACGUACAAGCAGUGGGAGCACAGGUUUACCUGUGUGACUGCGUACCUUUUGUAUAAUGGGUCAGCGACUUAUAUUCUGUAGCAAGGUUAACCGAAUAGGGGAGCCGUAGGGAAACCGAGUCUUAAUUGGGCGUUAAGUUGCAGGGUAUAGACCCGAAACCCGGUGAUCUAGCCAUGGGCAGGUUGAAGGUUGGGUAACACUAACUGGAGGACCGAACCGACUAAUGUUGAAAAAUUAGCGGAUGACCUGUGGCUGGGGGUGAAAGGCCAAUCAAACCGGGAGAUAGCUGGUUCUCCCCGAAAGCUAUUUAGGUAGCGCCUCGUGAAUUCAUCUCCGGGGGUAGAGCACUGUUUCGGCUAGGGGGCCAUCCCGGCUUACCAACCCGAUGCAAACUGCGAAUACCGGAGAAUGUUAUCACGGGAGACACACGGCGGGUGCUAACGUCCGUCGUGAAGAGGGAAACAACCCAGACCGCCAGCUAAGGUCCCAAAGUCAUGGUUAAGUGGGAAACGAUGUGGGAAGGCCCAGACAGCCAGGAUGUUGGCUUAGAAGCAGCCAUCAUUUAAAGAAAGCGUAAUAGCUCACUGGUCGAGUCGGCCUGCGCGGAAGAUGUAACGGGGCUAAACCAU